AUUUAGUGAUUCUGUUGAACACAAUCCUGUGCAUGGAUUUAUGGAUUUCAAGUGAAAUUGCUAUAAUUUUAGUUCUUUGGUUUGAAAACUCAACUGAAUGCUGUUAUAUCAAAUAGCUGCUCUCAAGCACUGUGCUAUAAUGGAAGAUUACGUACAAAGUGUAUUCUUUUAGUGUUCCUGGAACAUUGGAUGGUAAAUAUCAGUCAACAAUAAGCUUAAUUACUUUAAAAAUAAAAGCUUUUGAAUAAAAUUAAGACAUAAUUUAGCAUUCCCAGGAAAAUUAUGAUUACAAUUGCAAAUUUAGUACAGCAAUCACUUGCCCUGGUAUAAUAAAAAAUUGUUUGGCAGAACAGUAAUCUAGACCAAAAGAAAUCUCAAAACAGUAACAAGUACAUUACCGACAUAAUGUUACACAACACACACAUUGAUUUUUUGUAUCUAUGGUUACAGGUAAUAAAUAUUUUCACAUGAAUUGACAAAAUUUUCUACAAUGGGCAGGCAGGCUUUGUGUCAAAAACAUAUUUUGAAGCCACAAAUUAUUUUAUGUUCGCUACAACAUACAAUUACUUCUUGGCUACCUUUUAUAGUAUAUAGUUUGAAGGCAGCAACAGUUUGUGAAUCAUUCUUAACAAUCUGUGCAGUAGAAAGCUGUUGGAUAGACAGUGGGAUGAGACAAAUUAAACAACCUGCCUAUAAGAUUUCAAUAAUUGAAAUAAUGGGAUGCAGCUUCACUUCAAUGUAGCUGUAUAACUACAAUUAGUGCUAAUAGUGGUUACAUUUUCAGUCAGAUGGAUUCUUUGGUACCAAUAAUAAACGUUCAACUAUGAAUCCAAUUUGACUUUUCUCAACUCAUUUUCUAAAGACACUGAUGUGCUUGCCCCCUCAAGUAUACUGCCCCUGGGGUUUGGAAAGUAGUUUUUAAAAACGUAACUUGAUGGGUUUGAAAUCAGAGAAGAUAUUCUCCUCAGUUUUAUGACAGCUUCGUAUGAAAAAUAUAUAGUUUAAGGAAAAUUCUAUAGUACAUUAAAAUAUUGAAUGAUGAAUGUUAGCUUUACAAGAUGGAAACUUCUCUUCUAUGUGUGCGGAUGAAUUUUGAGCUAUCGGUUGCCCUCUUUCAAUAUAGGAGACAUACUGGUAUAAAGUUUUAAGUGGAUGAAACUCUUAAGUGUAAAUUAAUGCUGGACUUAACAGCAGUCAGAAACAAAAAGAGAAAAGAGACAUACACUCUGCUAAGCAUUGCUAGGCACUGAGUUGAUGAGAUUCCAGAGAGAGAUUCCAGAGAGAGAUUCCAGGGUAAACCUUGAUAUCCACACUUCUAAGAAAUAGGAAGGGAGGUAUCUACCUAGAAACAGAAAGUUUAAAAGACAUAAAUUUAUUUUUUCCACUUCCAUGUGUACACCAUGUAUUUGAUGUAAAAAUGCUGGUCAAUUUAUUGUGGUGAAAGGAGAUAUCUUGUAGGAAGUUUAAAAACUAACAUUUUAAAACAGUUUUAAUUUUAUAUAAA
rnacentral:lncRNA from 1 species